AAAAAAAAAAAAACCCUAAAAUUCUCUCCUUUUGCUUAUAUCUUCCAGGUUCUUCAGUCCCAUUGUUAUAGUACCAGUGGUUUGUGCGGUGGGUCUUGGUCUGUUCAUGAGGGGUUUCCCACUGGUAAUUUCUUUUUGACAAGACUAUAAUGUUUGGUGCUGUUGAAAGUUAAUAAUAAGAAGCUCAUUUCCCCCUGCAUUCUAUUCAGCUUGCUAACUGU
rnacentral:misc_RNA from 1 species